UCAAACCUAUUUUAUGCCAGACUAAAGGCAAACAAUAUGCCUGGACUUAAAAUGAAUGAAGUUCUUAAUAAAAGGAACUCAUGCCAUUGUGUAAGUCAUGCUACACAGAGAGAAAUGUUGUUUGCGCCGAGAACAGCCCUAUCCCCACAAGGAUAAAUAUGAGUGCAUGAAGCAGCAGAGGCUGCUAAGCAUGCUGAAGAAUGGACCCUUGUUCCUAAAGUCUUCCUCAGGACAGAGACACAAACAGGACCAGGUGACCUCAAUUAUUUGUGAAUGGAGAAUGGGUGUAUGAACUGUCUCUUUAAACUCUCCCAAAGACGACCAGUUAAUAUUACAUUAUUAAAAAUGUAAAGGAAGUUUCAUUCUACUAACAAUACAAGUGCAGUAAAAUACUUUAUAUGUUAUAGUUGCUCCAUAAAUUUUAGGCUCCGUCUGUUGAUCAUUUUUUUACCACCAGAAUAUAGAGAAAACAAUGAAGGAACUUCCACUUUGAGCUUAUCUGAGCCACACAGAGGAAAAAAGUGGUAAACAGAAAUAAUAGGAAAGUUUAGAAAAAAAUUUAUUGUUCUUUCAUAAUUAAAUGUACUAUGUAUUUUUUAAAGAAAUAACCUUAGCUAUUUUGAAUCUAUAUCCCUUUCUUAAGGAUAAUAAAAAACUUUAACAUAUUUGAACUCCUCACUGAAUACCUCACUCCCUGCCUUAUCUAACUGUCUUCAUUUUUUUGGUUAGGAAAUUUAAUACUAUGUUGUUUAUGUAAGACAUGGUUUUCUGAUGACCCCAGUAUUUAAUUACAUUUGACAGUAUUAUUUGCUCACCACAAGUUUUGUUCUGUUUUGUUUUAUUAUUUCUUUAAAAAUCUACUCAUUUCUCUACAUUAUUAUUGCUAAAAUUCAUCCCUUAAAUAUUAUUUUUGUGAUGAUCUGUGAAACAUGAACACUUUUAUUCUUUGUCUAGAAUUGCCUUAAUUCCCCUUGUUCUUUGAUGUUAUUUAGGCUGGGCAUAGAAUUAUAGGUUGCCAGCUUCUGUGCCUCAGCAUCAUUUUCUGAAUAUAUUGUAGUUAAUAAGAAGUGUUUUGCAAACUUAAUUUUCAUAUUUUG
rnacentral:lncRNA from 10 species